GACGAACGCUGGCGGCGUGCUUAACACAUGCAAGUCGAACGGAAAGGCCCUGCUUUUGUGGGGUGCUCAAGUGGCGAACGGGUGAGUAACACGUGAGUAACCUGCCCUUGACUUUGGGAUAACUUCAGGAAACUGGGGCUAAUACCGGAUAGGAGCUCCUGCUGCAUGGUGGGGGUUGGAAAGUCUCGGCGGUUGGGGAUGGACUCGCGGCUUAUCAGCUUGUUGGUGGGGUAGUGGCUUACCAAGGCUUUGACGGGUAGCCGGCCUGAGAGGGUGACCGGCCACAUUGGGACUGAGAUACGGCCCAGACUCCUACGGGAGGCAGCAGUGGGGAAUAUUGCACAAUGGGCGGAAGCCUGAUGCAGCAACGCCGCGUGCGGGAUGACGGCCUUCGGGUUGUAAACCGCUUUCGCCUGUGACGAAGCGUGAGUGACGGUAAUGGGUAAAGAAGCACCGGCUAACUACGUG
rnacentral:rRNA from 1 species